UACUACAGGAAGAGAUCCAUUGAAUCAACCACACAGAGAGGAGAGAGUCAAGUUAAAAGACAGGUGAUGAUCCUGGAAUUUUUGUCUCGCAUGUCUGAAACCUGGAACAAGCCAUAAAGCUCCAGAGAUUCUGCAGAUGCUAGAAAAUCCAGAGCAACACACACAAAGUGCUGGAGGAACUCAAGCCAAGGGGUGCCAUUGGUUGUGUGAAUGGUUCAGUUCCUUUUAUCCAUCAACUGGUAUUGUGUACGUGGUUAUUCCGGAGACUUGCUAUCAAUAAAGGAUGCUCUUUGCCAAAA